GAUGAACGCUGGCGGCGUGCCUAAUACAUGCAAGUCGAGCGAACAGACGAGGAGCUUGCUCCUCUGACGUUAGCGGCGGACGGGUGAGUAACACGUGGAUAACCUACCUAUAAGACUGGGAUAACUUCGGGAAACCGGAGCUAAUACCGGAUAAUAUAUUGAACCGCAUGGUUCAAUAGUGAAAGACGGUUUUGCUGUCACUUAUAGAUGGAUCCGCGCCGCAUUAGCUAGUUGGUAAGGUAACGGCUUACCAAGGCAACGAUGCGUAGCCGACCUGAGAGGGUGAUCGCCCCCACUGGAACUGAAACCGGUUCAAAACCCCUAGGGGAGGAAGCAGGAGGGAAUUUCCCGCAUGGGGGGAAACCCUGACGGAGCAACGCCGCGUGAGUAAUGAAGGUUUUCGGAUUGUAAAACUCUUUUAUUAGGGAAAAACAAAUGUGUAAGUAACUAUGCCCGUCUUGACGGUACCUAAUCAAAAAGCCGCGGCUAACUACGU
rnacentral:rRNA from 1 species